CAAGGAAUAGUUUAAGUAGAAUAUCAGCUUUGGGUGUUGAUGGUGGAACUAGUGUUUCUUCCUUGA
rnacentral:tRNA from 2 species